rnacentral:sRNA from 1 species
AGGUUCGACUCGAGCGAAGCGAGAGAACGUUGCGCCAGCAACGGCCCGCA